UUCAGUGGCAUGAAGUACAUUCAGACUUAUUAAAUCCAUACAUAGAGAAGAUUGAGAGAGGGCAAGGAAGGAUGAGGACUUGCAACAAGCAAACAGCAUUGUAUGCCAUGAGCGGUAUACAUUUUGAAAAGGUAGAGCCAGUUGCAAUUAGGAUUGGUUGUGAGAUGUGAGACAAAGAGGAAUCAGGAUGAAUCCAGUGUUUUCAGCCUAAGCCACAGAAAGAAUAGAGAUGUCCUUUUCCAAUGAGGAAAAUGAUGAAGACUAUGGGAGGAGCAGGCUUGGCAGAAAUAA